rnacentral:misc_RNA from 1 species
GGGCAUAUCCUAUUAAAAACAAAUACCUAGCUUUGCGCAAGAAAUUAAAUGCUACCAUCAUGAUACAACAUAGCAGCUGAUUUAACAAAACCAGCUGCUAUAUAACUAUCGAGGGCAACACUAGACAGCUCGGAAUACAAUACAGAUAAAUCACAUACCAAAGUCAGAAGAAACCAGAUGCGGUAAGACAGCUUUUGGGUUUGCAAACUCUUGAUUCAAUCAUCUGCAAUAAAUAGAAAGUCGGUGGCAAGCAUCAAGAAAUGAUCUUUCCAUUCACCAGGACUGGCAAAAGGCAAAAGACCACAGCAUAAUGGCAGAAACAAGAGCACAACAGCAUAGAAAAGAAUUUGUCGGAACCAGUAUGGACAUGUUGCAUUGGAUUUUUCCCCUUGGGAGACGGUGACAGACCCAUGAAGUACACAGAACAAUGUCGAUAUGAAGACAUAUGAGAAGAAAUGCAGCAAGCACAUAGUCUCCCAAUAUAGUAGCCAAUGCAAUC